AGCAGCCGCGGUAAUUCCAGCUCCAAUAGCGUAUAUUAAAGUUGUUGCAGUUAAAAAGCUCGUAGUUGAAUUUCGGAAUCCGUCCGUUGGUCGGGCUUCACUGUCCGUACUGGUGUGAUGGGUUCUUACCUUCUGAAUAACCAGCAUGCCAUUCACUUGGUGCGUUGGGGAAGCAGGACUAUUACCUUGAAAAAAUUAGAGUGCUCAAAGCAGGCUAGUGCCUGAAUACAUUAGCAUGGAAUAAUAAAUAGGACGGCAUGGUUCUAUUUUGUUGGUUUCUAGGAUCACCGUAAUGAUUAAUAGGGAUAGUUGGGGGCAUUAGUAUUCAAUUGUCAGAGGUGAAAUUCUUGGAUUUAUUGAAGACUAACUCCUGCGAAAGCAUUUGCCAAGGAUGUUUUCAUUAAUCAAGAACGAAAGUUAGGGGAUCGAAGACGAUCAGAUACCGUCGUAGUCUUAACCAUAAACUAUGCCGACUAGGGAUCGGACGAUGUUAAUUUUUAACUGACCUCGUUCGGCGCCU
rnacentral:rRNA from 1 species